rnacentral:rRNA from 1 species
UGGCUCAGAACGAACGCUGGCGGCGCGCUUAACACAUGCAAGUCGCACGAGAAAGUGGAGCAAUCCAUGAGUACAGUGGCGUACGGGUGAGUAACACGUGGAUCAUCUACCUCUUAGUGGGGAAUAACCCUGGGAAACCGGGGCUAAUACCGCAUAAUCUCGAGAGAGGAAAGCAGCAAUGCGCUGAGAGAGGAGUCCGCGGCCGAUUAGCUAGUUGGUAGGGUAACGGCCUACCAAGGCAAAGGUAAGUAGCCGGCCUGAGAGGGCACACGGCCACACUGGCACU